rnacentral:lncRNA from 1 species
UUGAAAAAUAUGGAUAUCCGAAGGUGUUUACUUCUUUUCUCUUUUUUUUGUAUUUUUUAUUUUUUAUUUUUUAUUUUUAUUAUGAAGUGUCAAUCUUGUAUUAUAAAAGUAAGGUGCAUCAAAAACCCACUAGGUAAGGUUGGUUCCACACUAGAAAACUGCCUAAUUGAUUAUAUCUCAACCUCGAAAUUUAUGGAUGUGAAAACUAAAAAAGAUUUCAAGUCUUAACAUAGUUCAUCUUGUAACAACAUUAGAUAGACCAUAGAUUUUUAAGAUUUUCAAAUUUAUACAUUUGAUCAAUAGUAUAUUUAAAAUUUUAAAUUUUAUAAUUAGGGGAGAAGAUUUUCACGAGAUUGUGGUGGUUUUUGGAACUCGAAGCAAUCUUCAAGCCGGAUUUGGAGGUGUGCCUUACUUUGUUUGUUUACUUUGUUUAAUAUAGACGCCUUAUAUAAGCCUCAUAC